GUUAAACGCUGGCGGCAUGCCUUACACAUGCAAGUCGAACGGUAGCGCGGGGCAACCUGGCGACGAGUGGCGAACGGGUGAGUAAAGCAUCGGAACGUGCCCUGGAAUGGGGGAUAACGUAGCGAAAGUUACGCUAAUACCGCAUAUUCUGUGAGCAGGAAAGCAGGGGAUCGCAAGACCUUGCGUUCUGGGAGCAGCCGAUGUCGGAUUAGCUAGUUGGUGGGGUAAAAGCCUACCAAGGCGACGAUCCGUAGCGGGUCUGAGAGGAUGAUCCGCCACACUGGGACUGAGACACGGUCCAGACUCCUACGGGAGGCAGCAGUAAGGAAUAUUGCUCAAUGGCCGAAAGGCUGAAGCAGCAACGCCGCGUGGAGGACGAAAUACUUUUGUAUGUAAACUCCUGUAAGAAGGGAAAAAUAUAGCAGUUUUUCUGCAUUGAUUGUACCUUCAGAGUAAGCACCGGCUAACUACGUGCCAGCAGCCGCGGU
rnacentral:rRNA from 1 species